rnacentral:rRNA from 1 species
AAUAGAUACCCUGGUAGUCCACGCCGUAAACGUUGGAUACUAGGUGUGGCGGUCUUACCAACGACUGCCGUGCCGAAGCUAACGCAUUAAGUAUCCCGCCUGGGGAGUACGGCCGCAAGGCUAAAACUCAAAGGAAUUGACGGGUCCCCGCACAAGCGGCGGGGCAUGCGGCUUAAUUCGAUGCAACCCGAAGAACCUUACCUGGGUUUGACAUCACGGGAAAAGCUGUAGAAAUACAGUGUCCAUUAGGGCCCGUGACAGGUGGUGCAUGGCUGUCGUCAGCUCGUGUCGUGAGAUGUUGGGUUAAGUCCCGCAACGAGCGCAACCCUUGUCCUAUGUUGCCAGCGGUUUCGGCCGGGGACUCAUAGGAGACUGCCGGGGAUAACUCGGAGGAAGGUGAGGACGACGUCAAGUCAUCAUGCCCCUUAUAUCCAGGGCUGCACGCAUGCUACAAUGGCCGGUACAACGGGCAGCGAUCCCGCGAGGGUGAGCGAAUCCUAAAAAGCCGGUCCUAGUUCGGAUUGAAGUCUGCAACUCGACUUC